UUAACACAUGCAAGUCGAACGCAACCUUCGGGUUGAGUGGCGGACGGGUGAGUAACGCGUGAGAAUCUGCCUUGGGGUCGGGGACAACCACUGGAAACGGUGGCUAAUACCGGAUACGCCUUCGGGUAAAAGAUUUAUUGCCCUAAGAGGAGCUCGCGUCUGAUUAGCUAGUUGGUGAGGUAAGAGCUCACCAAGGCAGCGAUCAGUAGCUGGUCUGAGAGGACGAUCAGCCACACUGGGACUGAGACACGGCCCAGACUCCUACGGGAGGCAGCAGUGGGGAAUUUUCCGCAAUGGGCGAAAGCCUGACGGAGCAAGACCGCGUGAGGGAGGAAGGCUCUUGGGUUGUAAACCUCUUUUCUCAGGGAAGAAGCUCUGACGGUACCUGAGGAAUCAGCCUCGGCUAACUCCGUGCCAGCAGCCGCGGUAAUACGGAGGAGGCAAGCGUUAUCCGGAAUUAUUGGGCGUAAAGCGUCCGCAGGUGGCGAUUCAAGUCUGCUGUCAAAGCACGGGGCUUAACUCCGUAAGGCAGUGGAAACUGAAUAGCUAGAGUGCCGUAGGGGUAGAGGGAAUUCCCGGUGUAGCGGUGAAAUGCGUAGAGAUCGGGAAGAACAUCGGUGGCGAAAGCGCUCUACUGGACGGCAACUGACGCUCAGGGACGAAAGCUAGGGGAGCGAAUGGGAUUAGAUACCCCAGUAGUCCUAGCUGUAAC
rnacentral:rRNA from 1 species